rnacentral:rRNA from 1 species
GAUGAACGCUGGCGGCGUGCCUAAUACAUGCAAGUCGAGCGAACAGAUAAGGAGCUUGCUCCUUUGACGUUAGCGGCGGACGGGUGAGUAACACGUGGGUAACCUACCUAUAAGACUGGGAUAACUUCGGGAAACCGGAGCUAAUACCGGAUAAUAUUUCGAACCGCAUGGUUCGAUAGUGAAAGAUGGUUUUGCUAUCACUUAUAGAUGGACCCGCGCCGUAUUAGCUAGUUGGUAAGGUAACGGCUUACCAAGGCGACGAUACGUAGCCGACCCGAGAGGGUGAUCGGCCACACUGGAACUGAGACACGGUCCAGACUCCUACGGGAGGCAGCAGUAGGGAAUCUUCCGCAAUGGGCGAAAGCCUGACGGAGCAACGCCGCGUGAGUGAUGAAGGUCUUCGGAUCGUAAAACUCUGUUAUUAGGGAAGAACAUACGUGUAAGUAACUGUGCACGUCUUGACGGUACCUAAUCAGAAAGCCACGGCUAACUACGUG